GACGAACGCUGGCGGCGUGCUUAACACAUGCAAGUCGAACGGAAAGGCCCUGCUUUUGUGGGGUGCUCGAGUGGCGAACGGGUGAGCAACACGUGAGUAACCUGCCCUUGACUUUGGGAUAACUUCAGGAAACUGGGGCUAAUACCGGAUAGGAGCUCCUGCUGCAUGGUGGGGGUUGGAAAGUUUCGGCGGUUGGGGAUGGACUCGCGGCUUAUCAGCUUGUUGGUGGGGUAGUGGCUUACCAAGGCUUUGACGGGUAGCCGGCCUGAGAGGGUGACCGGCCACAUUGGGCCUGAGAUACGGCCCAGACUCCUACGGGAGGCAGCAGUGGGGAAUAUUGCACAAUGGGCGGAAGCCUGAUGCAGCAACGCCGCGUGCGGGAUGACGGCCUUCGGGUUGUAAACCGCUUUCGCCUGUGACGAAGCGUGAGUGACGGUAAUGGGUAAAGAAGCACCGGCUAACUACGUG
rnacentral:rRNA from 1 species